rnacentral:rRNA from 1 species
AUUGAACGCUGGCGGCAUGCCUUACACAUGCAAGUCGAACGGUAACAGGUCUUCGGAUGCUGACGAGUGGCGAACGGGUGAGUAAUACAUCGGAACGUGCCCGAGAGUGGGGGAUAACGAGGCGAAAGCCUUGCUAAUACCGCAUACGAUCUCAGGAUGAAAGCAGGGGACCGCAAGGCCUUGCGCUCACGGAGCGGCCGAUGGCAGAUGAGGUAGUUGGUGGGAUAAAAGCGUACCAAGCCGACGAUCUGUAGCUGGUCUGAGAGGACGACCAGCCACACUGGGACUGAGACACGGCCCAGACUCCUACGGGAGGCAGCAGUGGGGAAUUUUGGACAAUGGGCGCAAGCCUGAUCCAGCCAUGCCGCGUGCAGGAUGAAGGCCUUCGGGUUGUAAACUGCUUUUGUACGGAACGAAAAGACUCUGGUUAAUACCUGGGGUCCAUGACGGUACCGUAAGAAUAAGCACCGGCUAACUACGUGCCAGCAGCCGCAGUAAUAC